rnacentral:sRNA from 1 species
CCUCUGAAGAAAUAUGCAGUGCUUCUGACGAUGGUCUCAAAAUGAGAUAGGAUUUUCGUUAUAAUAAUUUACAUCUACUAUCCUCCAAAACAGCAGCCCAUUGCCUGCCCAGGUUAGGCAUGGAUUUUCCAUCUGUGCAGGCAUACCGGAGAAGAGCUUUUGACUCGCAUAAACAUAAACGAUGAGGGCUAUCAAAUACCACUGGUCUAGGAUUUUCAUAAAUUGCAUAUCGAAAGUACCCCCGAAGCUAUAAGGUCUGCGAUCAUGAGAGCUCCGACGUUGAGAUCAGAAAGGGCACCAUUGAGACACGGCCAUUAAGCUGGUGAAAAACGGGCUAUUUAUGCCAGAUGGCGGGCAAUAGCUGUGGGAUAGAGCGGAGUGCAGAUGGAAUGACUGUUGUUAGGUGGGAAUAUAUUCCCGGACGCCCUUUCUCCGGGGCUUGACUGGACAAAACGCUUGAGGAUGAAGAACUUAACGGCCUUGGAGAGUAUGAAGUGGGAGAAGGGAGUGGAACAGAUGCUGAAUAGGAAUGCAUUAUAGGGUUGGGUGAAACCGAGAUGAGUGUAAAUUGAUGACUCGAGGAAAAAGGUAAGGGACCGACGGUGAAGAAUUGGGCCUUCCCGAAAAGGGAUUGAUUUGAAAGAAUUUCAGGAUUGCCAGCUGGCUCAUUGACGAAAUGCUGGUCAGCUAUUUCUAUUUCAACUGUUGCUCGUAUGCAGCUUCAUUCGUAACAAAAAUCCUCGGAGGAAAUGUUGGCAUGAUGCCCACCACC